CAUGGUUGUCGUCAGCUCGUGUCGUGAGAUGUUGGGUUAAGUCCCGCAACGAGCGCAACCCUUAAGCUUAGUUGCCAUCAUUAAGUUGGGCACUCUAGGUUGACUGCCGGUGACAAACCGGAGGAAGGUGGGGAUGACGUCAAAUCAUCAUGCCCCUUAUGAUUUGGGCUACACACGUGCUACAAUGGACAAUACAAAGGGCAGCUAAACCGCGAGGUCAUGCAAAUCCCAUAAAGUUGUUCUCAGUUCGGAUUGUAGUCUGCAACUCGACUACAUGAAGCUGGAAUCGCUAGUAAUCGUAGAUCAGCAUGCUACGGUGAAUACGUUCCCGGGUCUUGUACACACCGCCCGUCACACCACGAGAGUUUGUAACACCCGAAGCCGGUGGAGUAACCAUUUAUGGAGCUAGCCGUCGAAGGUGGGACAAAUGAUUGGGGUGAAGUCGUAACAAGGUAGCCGUAUCGGAAGGUGCGGCUGGAUCACCUC
rnacentral:rRNA from 1 species